rnacentral:rRNA from 1 species
GAUGAACGCUGGCGGCGUGCCUAAUACAUGCAAGUCGAGCGAACAGACGAGGAGCUUGCUCCUCUGACGUUAGCGGCGGACGGGUGAGUAACACGUGGAUAACCUACCUAUAAGACUGGGAUAACUUCGGGAAACCGGAGCUAAUACCGGAUAAUAUAUUGAACCGCAUGGUUCAAUAGUGAAAGACGGUUUUGCUGUCACUUAUAGCUGGAUCCGCGCCGCAUUAGCUAGUUGGUAAGGUAACGGCUUACCAAGGCAACGAUGCGUAGCCGACCUGAGAGGGUGAUCGGCCACACUGGAACUGAGACACGGUCCAGACUCCUACGGGAGGCAGCAGUAGGGAAUCGUCCGCAAUGGGCGAAAGCUUGACGGAGCAACGCCGCGUGAGUGAUGAAGGUCUUCGGAUCGUAAAACUCUGUUAUUAGGGAAGAACAAAUGUGUAAGUAACUAUGCACGUCUUGACGGUACCUAAUCAGAAAGCCACGGCUAACUACGUG